rnacentral:rRNA from 1 species
CCCUUAGAUGUUCUGGGCUGCACGCGCGCUACACUGAUAUUGCCAAUAUGUCAUUCUUAUCCGAAAUGGAUUGGGUAAUCAAGUAAUGAAAUUUCAUGCUUGGAAUCGGUAAUUGCAAUUUUAUCGUGAACGAGGAAUUCCUAGUAAGCACUAGUCAUCAGCUAAUGUUGAUUAUGUCCCUGCCCUUUGUACACACCGCCCGUCGCUACUACUGAUUGGGUGUUCAAGUGAGAUGCUUAGACCCUUGUUGCAUGGUUCAUUAUUGUGCUCCGAAAGGAAAAAGUUUCAAGCUUGAGUGUCUAGAGGAAGUAAAAGUCGUAACA